rnacentral:tRNA from 1 species
GCGGGUGUAGCUCAGUUGGUAGAGCGUAUCCUUGCCAAGGAUAAGGUCGCCGGUUCGAAACCGGUCACCCGCUCCA